rnacentral:rRNA from 1 species
AGUGAACGCUGGCGGUAGGCCUAACACAUGCAAGUCGAACGGCAGCACAGUGAGAGCUUGCUCUUACGGGUGGCGAGUGGCGGACGGGUGAGGAAUACAUCGGAAUCUACUUUUUCGUGGGGGAUAACGUAGGGAAACUUACGCUAAUACCGCAUACGACCUACGGGUGAAAGCAGGGGAUCUUCGGACCUUUCGCGAUUGAAUGAGCCGAUGUCGGAUUAGCUAGUUGGCGGGGUAAAGGCCCACCAAGGCGACGAUCCGUAGCUGGUCUGAGAGGAUGAUCAGCCACACUGGAACUGAGACACGGUCCAGACUCCUACGGGAGGCAGCAGUGGGGAAUAUUGGGCAAUGGGCGCAAGCCUGAUCCAGCCAUACCGCGUGGGUGAAGAAGGCCUUCGGGUUGUAAAGCCCUUUUGUUGGGAAAGAACAGCAGCAGGUUAAUACCCCGCUGUUCUGACGGUACCCAAAGAAUAAGCACCGGCUAACUUCGUG